UACGUAGGGCGCGAGCGUUGUCCGGAAUUAUUGGGCGUAAAGAGCGUGUAGGCGGCCCGAUUAGUCCGCUGUGAAAGUCCAGGGCUCAACCCUGGAAUGCCGGUGGAUACUGUCGGGCUAGAGUCCGGAAGGGGCGAGUGGAAUCCUGGUGUAGCGGUGAAAUGCGCAGAUAUCAGGAGGAACACCGGUGGCGAAGGCGGAUCUCUGGGCCGAUACUGACGCUGAGGAGCGAAAGCGUGGGGAGCGAACAGG
rnacentral:rRNA from 1 species